GGGCUCCGAACACGCGUUUCCAUGGCUCUCCUCCGACUCCAAGAGCAGUGCUCGCUCCUCCGAAUCUCCAGCUCCCACCACCCAAACCCCAUCGAUAUCCCAAGAAAUCCUCGCAAGAACCAACUUUUAGUGCCCAAUGCGGCCAAGAUUGCCAACGCCUCCGAAAUUCCGGUUCCUCGCAUCCCCACUAGCACUUCCAAGGCCGCAAUCCUGGCCCGGAAGGCCGCGCUUUGGCGGGACGCCCUUGUCCCCGUUGCCGCCGCCUUCGCGUCCUGUCCGCUCCCUUCCCUCGCGGCGGAGGGCGACGGGAAAGUGAGCCUCGAGUCCAUCGUGGUGGCAAUCGACGACUUCAACAAUCGCAACCCUUUCUUCGUGGCUGGGGUCGUGUUCGUGUGGCUAGUGGUGAUCCCGCUCCUGCAGGAGUACGUCUUCAAGAAGUACAAGCCCGUGAGCGCCAUCGACGCGUUCCGCAAGCUUCGCGACGUGCCGGAGGUGCAGCUGCUGGACAUCAGGCGGGGCAAGAGCGUGCGGUUCAUGGCGCCACCGAAGCUGAAGCUUAUCGACAAGAGCACCGUGCAGGUCGAGUUCGACGAGGAGGACGAGAAGGGGUUUGUCAAGGAGGUGCUAGCGAGGUUCCCAGACCCGGCGAACACCGUCGUCUGCGUCCUUGACAAGUAGCUUUGAUGGUAAUUCUUCGAAAGUUGCUGAGCUACUAGUUGAGAAUGGUUUUAAGGAAGCCUAUGCAAUUAAAGGGGGCUUGAGAGGUCCGGAAGGGUGGCAGGCGGUUCAAGAAAACUAUCUUCCCCCAUCUGUCCAUGUUUUCCCGAAGAAAAAAAGGGGCGCGAAAUUAGCUCACACAGAUGCAAGCAAUGAUGGAACAUACGUUCAGCAGGAGGGAAGCGAGGAAUCAUCGGCUCCUCCAAGCAGGUUUGUAGUCAACACAAGCGCUGAAUCCAAAGAUGUUUAUGAAAAUCCCAAUGGAAGUACAACUGCUGCAAAACAUGCAACUAGGAGACCGUUAUCACCAUAUCCAAAUUACCCUGACUUGAAGCCUCCAUCAUCCCCAACACCAUCAAAACCGACGAAUUAAGAGCAAUGCAGGACAAUAACAUGUGUGGAACUCAAAAGGUCAGAAGUAGUUGUCUCCUGCACAAACAUUUUUGUAUACUUCCAACCGUGGAUGUCCAGGAGAUUGACUGGGAUGGCAUGGAAGAGGACCAGCAGUGGUGUUUGGAGCUCUUGCUGCUGUUGAGGCCAUGGUGAAUUCUUAGUUGUGUAAUUUGCGAAGCUUGUACCCGUAUGUUGUACUAUUAAGUGGGGGCGAAAUGACAUUUUGUACCUGACUUGAUACAGUUUGGGGUGCCUUAGCGUUCUCAAUUUGACAAUUGUGCUUAACUC